AAGACCUCUCUAGCCGACAGCCUCACCAAAACCCAACACCACCGCGUCGAUUACUGAAAGUAGGCUGGAAAAAACCUAAACACCCUGAUCUUCCCACCUAGACCCAAAUCCAAGCCAAAAUCUCUUAAAUAAGUCCUAGAUACCCCUAAACUAAGACCCGACCUUUCGACUUCUCCUACUCCGAGGAACCCCCCACGACGCACUCUCUCCCCUCAGGUGAUGAGGGUGGAACAGUGAAUGCGGUAGGCUUCUCCGACAACGGACAUCGAUGGCAGGGGUGGCUGACUGUGGCAUGGCAAGAUUAGGGUCAGGGUUAUCCAACUUGUGUUAAAGAAGUGGGCUUAGGGUUUUAAUUUAGGCCCAUCAAAUGGGGUUUGUAAUUGGGUAUGGUUUUGGAUGUAAAUAAUAUUAUAUAAUAAUAAUAAUCUCCAUUUGAGCA